GCCUUCCUACGGGAGGCAGCAGUGGGGAAUAUUGCACAAUGGGGGAAACCCUGAUGCAGCGACGCCGCGUGAAGGAAGAAGUAUUUCGGUAUGUAAACUUCUAUCAGCAGGGAAGAAAAUGACGGUACCUGACUAAGAAGCCCCGGCUAACUACGUGCCAGCAGCCACGGUAAUACGUAGGGGGCAAGCGUUAUCCGGAUUUACUGGGUGUAAAGGGAGCGUAGGCGGCGAUGCAAGUCAGAAGUGAAAGCCCGGGGCUCAACUCCGGGACUGCUUUUGAAACCGUGUUGCUAGAUUGCAGGAUG
rnacentral:rRNA from 1 species